AGUUGGCGCUACAUAAUUUCACUUCGCGCUACAUAAUUUCACUUGGCGCUACAAAAUUUCAUUUGGCUCCAAAACUUGAAAGGUAAAAGUGAAAAGGCAAAAACCCACUUUACUAUUUUGGCGCCAUUGUUAAAAAACUUGACUCAUUGAUUCUCAGUAAGGCAAUAAAGCCAAUAACCCUAGUUCAUUAGUCCUAGUAUUGAGUACUUCCUUAAUACAGUACUAGCCGCAUAACACUCUCUGUCACUUAACUCCUCACUCUUUCAUUUUCUCUCUAUUUUCUCUCACAGAUUCUUAGUCUCUUUGAGUCUCUGCUUAGUGUUUCCUUCGAAGUUUCAACUUCGAUCACGAUUCACGAUGUCAAAUGCUCAAACAUCUCAUUCUGUUCACAUUGAUCUGGACGAAAUUCCAGAUCUUUCUACUGCACCCCAGGAACACAAAACAUUCAGUGUGAAGACAAAGAAGAGGCAAAAUAAUCAUUGAUAGGUACUUAGAAGAAGAUACAAAGGAAGAUUCUGAGAAGUUUGAUAUCUUAGGUUGGUGGAGGACUAAUAGUGCAAGGUAUGCUGUUGUUAGUAAGAUGGCUCGGGAUGUGUUGUCUAAGAUAAGCUUGGGAGAUAAAGAUGGAAGUCAAGGAACAGAGGCUGAAAGUUGAUACUUGAAGAACUUUGUUUAUAUACUUGAUGUAAUGCUUAGUGUUAGAUCUAAAUAUCAGGAUAACUCUAGUUUUCUUAGAGUUCAUGUUUAUAUUUUUCAAUUUUUUUGUUCAGAUUUACAUGUCUUGUUGUUAUUUUUGUUUGAUUUUUUCUCCGCAACUAAUUAUAUCUGAUCACCAAUUCUUA